ensembl:lncRNA
UGGGGACUCGUGGGAGUGAGAAGCUGUGGAGCUACAAACCCCAAAGAUAGGAAGACUACAGUAGAGCGAAGUAGAGAAAUACUGUGAACUGCAUGCGCAUGUGGCGCGAUUGUUUAUUUGUUUUUAUUGUUUUGUGUCAAAUAAAGUAUCCCAAGAGCAUCAGCACGCCGACCCUGGUCUCCUUCCUCUUUACUUGAACGAACUUUGUUACACUGGUGCCGAAACCCAGGAGGAAGGAGAACGAUUCCGCCAUGCAAACUCCGUCAGGACCAUCGGGAUCGCCAUUUGCGGAGAUCAUAACAUCGCUCGCGGGCCUGCAUCAGGAACACCACCAAGCCCUGCUGGACUUACGGGCCGACCACGAACACCGGUUCCAGGCAAUGAUGCAGGUCCAGCAGGAGGACCGCAAGCUGUUCCGGAGCUUGCUGGACCGGGAGGGUCGGACGAGGUCGGCCUCCCCCAGUGCCAGCCCAGCCUCUCACAUGCCUCUCACGAAGAUGGGGCCAACAGAUGACCCAGAGGUGUUCCUCGAUCUUUUUGAGAAGACGGCCGAGGCAUGUGGGUGGUCGACAGACAGCUGGCCGGUCCGGGUCAUCCCGUUGCUGUCGGGGGAGGCCCAGAAGGCUGCCCAACAACUGCCCGUCCCAAACCUCCUGGUGUAUGCCGAUUUAAAAAGAGCCAUUCUCCAGAGGGUCGGCCUCAGCCCCGAGCAACACCGUCAGCGCUUCCGGUCGCUGGAACUGACCGAAGCGGGCCGACCCUUUGUCUUGGCACAGCAGCUCCGGGACUCGUGCCGCAAAUGGCUGUUGGCCGGAGAAAGCGACGCCGAGACCAUCAUCAGCAAGGUGGUACUGGAGCAGUUCAUCUCCCGUCUCCCAAAGAGGACCGCCCAGUGGGUCCAGUGCCACCGCCCGGCGUCGCUGGAUCUGGCCAUUCAACUGGCGGAGGAUCAGCUGCUGAUGGAGCCAGCAGCUGGGGCACGAGGCCCGACCUGGGGAAUGGGAUCACCGCGCCGGGAGGGGUCCGAGGAGCCUCCUGCUGCUUCCCCACGCCAAUCACCUGACCCACUUCCUGCCACUAGGGCGGCGGGGAGGCCUGGGCCGGCCUGCUGGCGUUGCGGGGAUCCGGGCCAUUCCGUGGAUCGGUGCCCGGUCAUGGAGGUGGGGACGUUGGUCCGGAUCCCGGACGACCCGCAGGCUGCCCCCGAUCAAGCCGGGUUGUACCAAAUACCCUGAUUGGCAUGGGGAACCGGUAUUUAAGCCGGCUGAGGACCGGCGAGAAGAGAGAGAGGGCUGGGGACUCGUGGGAGUGAGAAGCUGUGGAGCUACAAACCCCAAAGAUAGGAAGACUACAGUAGUGCGAAGUAGAGAAAUACUGUGAACUGCAUGCGCAUGUGGCGCGAUUGUUUAUUUGUUUUUAUUGUUUUGUGUCAAAUAAAGUAUCCCACGAGCCUCAGCACGCCGACCCCGGUCUCCUUCCUCUUUACUUGAACGAACUUUGUUACAAUAUUAU